AUUGAACGCUGGCGGAAUGCUUUACACAUGCAAGUCGAGCGGCAGCACGGGGGCAACCCUGGUGGCGAGCGGCGAACGGGUGAGUAAUACAUCGGAACAUGCCCAGUCGUGGGGGAUAACACUUCGAAAGAAGUGCUAAUACCGCAUACGUCCUGAGGGAGAAAGCGGGGGAUCUUCGGACCUCGCGCGAUUGGAGUGGCCGAUGUCAGAUUAGCUAGUUGGUGGGGUAAAGGCCUACCAAGGCAACGAUCUGUAGCUGGUCUGAGAGGAUGAUCAGCCACACUGGGACUGAGACACGGCCCAGAAUCCUACGGGAGGCAGCAGUGGGGAAUUUUGGACAAUGGGGGCAACCCUGAUCCAGCCAUUCCGCGUGAGUGAAGAAGGCCUUCGGGUUGUAAAGCUCUUUCGGCAGGAACGAAACGGCGAGCUCUAACAUAGCUUGCUAAUGACGGUACCUGAGGAAGAAGCACCGGCUAACUACGUGCCAGCAGCCGCGGUAAUAC
rnacentral:rRNA from 1 species